rnacentral:rRNA from 1 species
GUAACUUGGUCUGAGAGGAUGAUCAGUCACACUGGAACUGAGACACGGUCCAGACUCCUACGGGAGGCAGCAGUGGGGAAUAUUGGACAAUGGGCGAAAGCCUGAUCCAGCCAUGCCGCGUGUGUGAAGAAGGUCUUCGGAUUGUAAAGCACUUUAAGUUGGGAGGAAGGGCCAUUACCUAAUACGUGAUGGUUUUGACGUUACCGACAGAAUAAGCACCGGCUAACUCUGUGCCAGCAGCCGCGGUAAUACAGAGGGUGCAAGCGUUAAUCGGAAUUACUGGGCGUAAAGCGCGCGUAGGUGGUUUGUUAAGUUGGAUGUGAAAUCCCCGGGCUCAACCUGGGAACUGCAUUCAAAACUGACUGACUAGAGUAUGGUAGAGGGUGGUGGAAUUUCCUGUGUAGCGGUGAAAUGCGUAG